UGGCCCUACCUGAUUUUUUUUAACUUUUUACAAGGAGAUUGUAUUCACAUGUGUUAACUAUGUAACUUCAAGUUCAGCAUAUAAGCUCAGGUAAGCUUUUUCUAUUCACCCUGCUGUGUAAAUGAGCUUUGGACAAUUUCUGCUCAGAACACCUAUACUUGGAUUUUUAUAGGCUUGUAUUCCCAUUUUGUAAACAAAAUUACCAAUAGUUAUUUCACGGGUAAGCGUGUGGCACUCCCAUCCCUGUAAGAAGGGCCUCCAGAAAAGUCAUGUAGUCCUCUUGGGAUUCAUAGGACCAAGUGGCAGUGCAGCCAUGUGCCACCUGGCCUGGUCUGUUUGGGCCACCAGCCAUUGCUGUGUGAAGCUACAGCAGGUAAAUAAAUUUACACUGACUCCCUUUAUACACUAAUGGGACAUGUUUAACACCGUUUUCAUAUAUGCUAAGGCUUAUGUGUAGAAACAUUAGAUGGCAAAUGGGGACUAUUCAGGUGUGGAGAAAGUUUGAUUCAGGGCCUAAACAACUAUAAGAAAUAAGCAUGCCUGUUGAAUACAUGGGCACUAUAGGGAUAUAAAGGAGUGUUAGCUUUCUAUGGCUGCUGUAACAAAUUCCCACAAACCUGGCGACUUAAACCAACAUAUACUUGUUCUCUUGCAGUUCUGGAGGUCAGAAGUCUGAAAUCAUUUCCACUUGGCUGAAACCAAGGUGUUGGCAUGGCCAUGCUCCCUGAGGAGGGUCUAGGACGAAUCCUUUUCCAGCCUCCAGAGCUGUACUUCUUGCAUUCUGUGGCUCAUGGCCCCUUCUUCUGUCUUCAAAGCCAGCAGUGUAGCAUCUUCAAAUCUUUCUUUACUGUCGUAUCAUAUUCUCUGCUGUCUGUAGUCAGAUCUACUUCAGCCUUCGUCUUGCAAGGACACUUGUGGUAACAUUCAGGGCCCAACCAGAUAAUCCAGGUAACCCCCAUCUCAGGGUGGGUUAAUCACAUCUGCAAAAUUUAUUUUGUGAUAUAAGGUAACAUAUAUCCAGGGAUUAGGACAUGUAUCUCUCUGAGGGCCACUGUUCAGCUGACCACAGAGGUGACUAUAAUGUACUCUUGCACUCAUAGACCUUACCAUGAAUUAGACAGACAUCCAUGAUUCAAGUGUGUGAAAUUUGCUGUCACACAAAGAAAGGACUGAGGGAACAUGGAGGAUGAAUUUAAUUUUGUUCGAAGGGAUUGGGGAUGACAUGCAAAAUGAAGAAAAAUGGCUUGAAUAAGUGGGGAAGAGUAUAUCAAGUAAAAUAGCAAAAGCAGAGGCAUUGAAGGAUAUGCCAAAGUCAGACAUGGCAAGUCAUGCUGUGACGAUUCACCAGAAAGGUGCCGGGCUGGGAGAAGGGGGAUGUGGCAAGAAAUAUGGCAGAAAAGGACAGGCUGGGGCCAUAUUAUGGAGAGCCUUGAAUGAUGAGCCAAGAGUUAGAAUUUAACUUGCCAGAUAGUGUGGAGCCCUUAGGGCUUUCUGAGCUGGGGAAUACGUGAUUAGAUUUGUGUGAAAUAGAGAAAAAUGGAAGAAAAAUGUGAAGGUGUGAAAGAUUUUAAUAAUAGAGGCUGGGUAUGGU
rnacentral:lncRNA from 1 species